GUCUUUUUGAGUUUAAUUUAAGGUCUGAUCUGCCCACUGAUAAUAUUUAAGGGCCGCAGUAUUCUGACUGUGCAAAGGUAGCAUAAUCAUUAGUCUUUUAAUUGAGGGCUUGUAUGAAUGAUUGGACGAGAUAUAAUCUGUCUCAUAAAAAUUUAAGUAGAAUUUUAUUUUUUAGUUAAAAAGCUAAAAUAAAUUUAAAAGACGAGAAGACCCUAUAGAUCUUUAUAAUUUAUUUAUUAAUUUUUUUAGGUUAUUUUUUAAUUUUAUAAAUUAAAUUAUUUUGUUGGGGUGACAGUGAAAUUUAAAAAACUUUCAUAAUUUUUAUUACAUUGAUUUAUGAAAAAUUGAUCCAUUUUUAGUGAUUAAAAAUUUAAGUUACCUUAGGGAUAACAGCGUAAUUAUUUUGGAGAGUUCUUAUCGAUAAAAUAGUUUGCGACCUCGAUGUUGGAUUAAGAUUAAUUCUGGGUGUAGCAGUUCAGGUUAUUAAGUCUGUUCGACUUUUAAUUUCUU
rnacentral:rRNA from 1 species